rnacentral:rRNA from 1 species
UCCAGAGGGGGCAAGCGUUAUUCGGAAUUAUUGGGCGUAAAGGGCGCGUAGGCGGCUUUGCAAGUGACGGGUGAAAUCCCUCGGCUUAACCGAGGAACUGCCUGUCAGACUGCAUGGCUUGAGACCAGGAGAGGUGAGUGGAAUUCCCAGUGUAGCGGUGAAAUGCGUAGAUAUUGGGAGGAACACCAGUGGCGAAGGCGGCUCACUGGACUGGUACUGACGCUGAGGCGCGAAAGCGUGGGUAGCAAACAGG